rnacentral:lncRNA from 1 species
AGUUUAGGGGUGUGGCUAAAGGGGGCGGGGAGAGCGGUCAGCCCGAGGAUCUUCGCGGCGAGAGAGGGUUUCAGUCUGGUGCGACAGGUCUGGAGCAAGGGAUCUCGGUUUCGUUUCGCUGGAGCCCCGAAGCUACGCAUGCGCACAAGAAUCCUGUCCCUGGGACGCCAGUUAUCUCCUGGAGGCACCUGAUGUUCUUUUAAAAACCUAGGGAAAGAGCGAAGACCUUCGUCACAUGCCAAGCAGAACUUGACUCUGACGCACUGCAGAAUAUAGUGCAUUCAUUGGGAGUCUAGCCUGACUUUCUUUUGCGUUAUCUUGAAUUUGGUCAUUUCGACUCAAUAAAGUAGACGUGAAUAACUAGGUAUACCUGAGUCUGGGGGUGGGAAUGGGCUACGGACCGGUUUGGUGUGAUGGAAAUACCCCUAAACUGGACUGUGGGGGUGGCUGCAUUAUUUACUAUUUUUUGUACAGCUGAAAGGGUGAGUGUAUACAAUAGACCUUAUUCUGUGAUGAUGUGAGCGCCUGUAUUGGAAUGGCUCCACUUCAGGCUGAGUAAAAGACCAAGAUGAAGCCUGCCUUCCCCCUAGAAUUUUAAAUUUCCUUUCCUUUCCUUUCCUUUCCUUUCCUUUCCUUUCCUUUCCUUUCCUUUCCUUUCCUUUCCUAGACAAGGUUUGUCUGUGUAGCUCUGGCUGUACUGAAAUUACUCUGUUGACUAGGCUAGCCUCACACUCACAGAGUUCCACCCGCCUCUGCUUCCCAAGUGCAAGGAUUAAAGGCAUGCACCAUCACUGGCUGGCAGUGUAGAAAUUUUUCUCUUCCUCAGCCUCAGAUAUCUUAAGAACCCGCCCCUAACUCAACAUAAUAUUCCUUUUAUAGAUACUUUUUUUGUACUUAUAGAUGCUUUUUAAUACAUACGUAUAUACAUUUU